rnacentral:rRNA from 1 species
GAUGAACGCUGGCGGCGUGCCUAAUACAUGCAAGUCGAGCGAACGGACGAGAAGCUUGCUUCUCUGAUGUUAGCGGCGGACGGGUGAGUAACACGUGGAUAACCUACCUAUAAGACUGGGAUAACUUCGGGAAACCGGAGCUAAUACCGGAUAAUAUUUUGAACCGCAUGGUUCAAAAGUGAAAGACGGUCUUGCUGUCACUUAUAGAUGGAUCCGCGCUGCAUUAGCUAGUUGGUAAGGUAACGGCUUACCAAGGCAACGAUGCAUAGCCGACCUGAGAGGGUGAUCGGCCACACUGGAACUGAGACACGGUCCAGACUCCUACGGGAGGCAGCAGUAGGGAAUCUUCCGCAAUGGGCGAAAGCCUGACGGAGCAACGCCGCGUGAGUGAUGAAGGUCUCGGAUCGUAAAACUCUGUUAUUAGGGAAGAACAUAUGUGUAAGUAACUGUGCACAUCUUGACGGUACCUAAUCAGAAAGCCACGGCUAACUACGU